GGCCUUGACAUACUAAGAACUUUCCAGAGAUGGAUUGGUGCCUUCGGGAACUUAGAUACAGGUGCUGCAUGGCUGUCGUCAGCUCGUGUCGUGAGAUGUUGGGUUAAGUCCGCAACGAGCGCAACCCUUUUCCUUAUUUGCCAGCGGGUAAUGCCGGGAACUUUAAGGAUACUGCCAGUGACAAACUGGAGGAAGGCGGGGACGACGUCAAGUCAUCAUGGCCCUUACGGCCAGGGCUACACACGUGCUACAAUGGUCGGUACAAAGGGUUGCUACCUCGCGAGAGGAUGCUAAUCUCAAAAAAGCCGAUCGUAGUCCGGAUCGCAGUCUGCAACUCGACUGCGUGAAGUCGGAAUCGCUAGUAAUCGCGGAUCAGAAUGCCGCGGUCGAAUACGUUCCCGGGCCUUGUACACACCGCCCGUCACACCAUGGGAGUUUGUUGCACCAGAAGUAGGUAGUCUAACCGCAAGGAGGACGCUUACCACGGUGUGGCCGAUGACUGGGGUGAAGUCGUAACAAGGUAGGCGUAGAUGA
rnacentral:rRNA from 1 species